AUGAAUCACAACUUAGAAAAGCCAGAAAGUGGAGAAGGAAAUAAUAGCACAAAAAUAAAUCAGAGGAGAAGUCUACAGAUCCGAGCUCACAACAGUCGACAUCCAGCUUCCCCCAGCACAACCUGCCGAUCCAUCCAUUCACGACGCACGCUCCAAGUCGUACCACCCAGCUGCCACAACCGACGCCGAAGACACACUCACAACUCCGGCGAACAACCUGUUUCCAACCACCCCAGAACUCACGCGGUAUACCUUAUUUCUUUUGUGAUUUUAUUUGAUUGA